AUAAGGAGUCGGACCUGCCCGGUGAAGAUUUUUAACGGCCGCGGUACUCUGACCGUGCAAAGGUAGCAUAAUAAUUUGCCUUAUAAUUGAAGGCUGGUAUGAAUGGUUUGACAAGAAUAUCACUGUCUCUUUAUAAUUUAUUAGAAUUUUAUUUUAAGGUGAAGAAGCCUUAGUAUAAUUGAUAGACAAGAAGACCCUAUCGAGCUUUAAAAAACUUAGAAGAUUUAUAACUUAAUAGAGCUUAAAAAAGAAACUUUUAAAAAUUUUAGUUGGGGCGACUAAGGAACAGUAAAAGCUUCCUUUAACUAUUUUUAACUUAUAAGUUUUGAUCCAAAUUAUUUUGAUUAAAAAAAUUAGUUACCGUAGGGAUAACAGCAUUAUCUUUUUUAAGAGCUCUUAUCGAAAAAAAGGUUUGUGACCUCGAUGUUGGACCAGAAUAUCCCGAAGGUGCAGAAGCCUUCAAAGGUUGGUCUGUUCGACCAUUAAAAUUCUA
rnacentral:rRNA from 1 species